UUACAUACAGAUCAUAAAAAAUAAGUUACAUACGGAUUUUAUAUACGGAUUUUAUCUACUGAUAUUUCCGUAUGUAAAAUUCGUAUAUAAUGUUGGCGCGUGUAGGCGAGAACUUUAUCUAAGGAUAUUAUCCGUAUAUAACCAUUUAAAAUCCAUAUGUAAUUCGGAAAUACAUUAUAUACCGAUAUUAUAUACGGAAUGUUAAAAUAAAUUAUUAAAAAUUAAUAAAAAGGAAAACUUAAAAUGUAGGUUUUGGUUGUUUUGUGCUUGGACAUUUUCAUUUGCCUCCGUGGUUAAAAAGCCCUGGGGUUUUAGGAAGGAGAGCGAGGAGUGUGACGACGACACCAUCUACCUCUACGACCUCUCCGCUGCCUCUUUCCUCGGUUCCCUCAACCAACACUCUGACUCUAUCACCGCCCUCUCCUUUUAUGCCCUUCUCAAUCUCCCUUUUCCCUGCAACCUCAUCUUCGCCGAUCUUACCACGCUCUUCGUCCACCGGAACGCCGCUAUGAACGACCUCGCUCUGCACCCGUCCGGUGAGUGCGCCCUCACCGUUGCUCGUGACAACUGCCUCACCAUCUUUAACCUCAUUCGCGGCAGUCGCAACUACUGCUUGUGCCUCGACAAGGAAUUGUGCUUCUUCAAAUUCUUCAAAUUGGAAUGCUCCAAGCCCGUUUUCUACGCUGCUCCUGUUAGGAUAUGUGCUUCUUCAAAUUCUUUCUCUGUUUUCUCGAAUUAUCAUCGAAUAUCAAGUUGGUUAUUUUUAUUUUCUCUGUUUCUUUUGGUUUUGCUGAUUUGUCUUGUAUGUUUAAAAACUCUAGGGUUUAGGUAGCAUUUGAUUUGAUGAAGAAAGUUUGGUAUAUUGUCACUUGUUAAGUUUUUCAGGCGCUUAAUACUUGUUAAGUUUUAUGGGAUUCUUGUGGUGCAUUUUUAGGAGAUCUCCAUUGUGCUACCGAUGUUGCGUUUAGGGAAGAUUCAGAGGGCUUUUAAGUGGAAGCAGAUACAUCACUCAAGAUGAGCUUCAAAAAGCCUAUGAAGAAUUUAUUAUUGAGAAUGUAUGCUUUGAGGAAAUCAUCCAAGAAGUUGAUCAAAAUAAUAAAUUGAAGAUGGUCCCAUAUAUGCUCAACUUUUUGUGCCCGUAAAUGCCAAUCUGCUCCCAAAUAGUGAGGCAUGUCAACCAGCAAAUGGUGACAAAGUGGUCUUCUGCAAGCUAAUAUGGGUCCAAGCCGCAACAUACCAAGGUAAGUUGAACUAUAAAGGCAAUGAUUUUAGUUUAUAAUCAUUAUUUGUCAAUGGAAUUUGAGAUCACGUCUAUAAUCAUUAUUCAUAAAUGAUAUUGGAUUGGUUUUAGGCUUGUUAGUUAUCUUGUAAGUUCAUAAUGAAUUGUCAUCAUUAUAUUAUGAUGGAUGCAAAUCCUUACCUUAAAUAUUUUUGUGAUGAAAACAUGUUGGUUGGUGUGAGACACUAUGAUAAGAGUUGGAGAAUGAGCAACAUACAACCAGCUUAGCAGAAUGAAGAACAAUGCCUUUUCUGAAGAAUACCAAGGUUCUUUCCUUCAUGACAAGCAAACAAAUCUAGAAGAUGAGCAUGACAAGAUAUUCAUAGUACAUGGAGUCUCUAGAAGCAAAAGAGAAGCAAGUGAUACUUUUGUAGUCUUAGCUGAUCUAAUAAAUCUACUAGUGUUUAGUAUGGUAUUUAUCAUUGUAAAUGGUUUGACAUAGUACCAACUUAGAUUGAUAAGUUUGUUUAUUAUGAGUAUAUAUUAAAAUUGUGGUUGUUGAAUAGUAACACAUUAUAAUAGAUUCAUUAAUGUAA